rnacentral:sRNA from 1 species
CUGACAGCCCUGGAAACUGAAGUCCUCUAUCUAUCCACAGAAAACCAAAGGCAGUGGCAGUUCAAGUCACUAUGCCUCAUCAUGGAUAGGGACAGACUGGGUGAGAUUUUCUGUCUGCUCUGGCUCCUUUAUGCCAGAUGUCACA